rnacentral:rRNA from 1 species
CCUACGGGUGGCAGCAGUGAGGAAUAUUGGUCAAUGGACGAGAGUCUGAACCAGCCAAGUAGCGUGAAGGAUGACUGCCCUAUGGGUUGUAAACUUCUUUUAUAAAGGAAUAAAACGCGGCACGUGUGCCUUUUUGCAUGUACUUUACGAAUAAGGACCGGCUAACUCCGUGCCAGCAGCCGCGGUAAUACGGAGGAUCCGAGCGUUAUCCGGAUUUAUUGGGUUUAAAGGGAGCGUAGGUGGGUUGUUAAGUCAGUUGUGAAAGUUCGCGGCUCAACCGUAGAAUUGCAAUUGAUACUGGCAGUCUUGAGUACAGUAGAGGUAGGCGGAAUUCGUGGUGUAGCGGUGAAAUGCUUAGAUAUCACGAGGAACCCCGAUUGCGAAGGCAGCUUGCUAGACUGUGACUGACGCUGAGGCUCGAAGGUGUGGGUAUCAAACAGGAUUAGAUACCCGUGUAGUC